AGAAAUUCGGAUUAGAAAGCAGAGGAGGGAAAGUUGUAAAUGUUGGAACCAUUUUGUGUGGCUGGAGCUUUGACCAUUGGCCUCUAUAGAGGAAUGCCCUUGCACAUGUGGACUUCUCAUGUGCAUAAUCGUCAGAUUUUCAUGAAAAAGAGGGCACCCAGUGAGAUGGCAUGCUUCUCAUUGAUGUUGGUCGGAUGCUGCUUAAGUACUUCUACUUGGUUGCAUCCAAUCAACAAUUGUGGGAAUAGCAGUGGAUGGAAGAGAAGCUACUUGGAAUUUAGGAUGAAUCUGCAACUGCUAACAAUAGUUUACUCGGUUUAUCCUUAAUUCUAGGACUUGGAACAAAAAAAUCAAAGCGAUCCACAGCUUGGGUGGACCACACCACAGGGAACAAUGGAGAUGGGAUACUAAUCAUCAGUUUGUGUUGGGCUACUAUGGUGUUUAUCUUUCAUCAAAUCCAUUCAUCAAGUGUAACUCACUAGGAUGAAGUAAAGAUACAAAAAUCAACCUGAUAGAAAUAUUGGGUGGGGCACACCAUGUGAGGUUAAUAGGUUUUUGGAGCACUUUUACAUUUUUCACAUUGGUGUAGUGCAUGAGAGUUUUAGCUGGAAGAUCUUUUUUUUUUUGUUUUUUUGUUUUUUUUUUUUUUCGGUUUGUUUAUAGGAUAGAAAUAAUGGUCCUGAUGAACAAAGUGGAUUUAUAUAUGUAAAACAUGGUGGGCCCACAGAGCUGACACACGUAGCUGUGUAGUACGUGUUGCAGACAAUUCCAAUCCGCCCAACCGUCUCUCUCUCUCUCUCUCUCUCUCUCUCUCUGCCUGGCCAUGCUUGCAGCAAUCCCAGCACCAUGUUAAAUAGGAGGAGAUGACAGGGUAGAAAAGGAAAAACUGGAAUAUGAUAGAUCCAUUUCUCCACAGUACACGUGGCAAGGAUAUGUAUCGAUCAGAGCCAUUCAUCUGGUGGACACUAUCAUGAUGGCUCAUGUUUCAGAAAUCACUCCUACUAGACAAUCCUUUCCAUCAAAUUUCUCCAAUUUCCUUGUUGAGCUUUUGACCAUUAAUCGCUUUGACGAAUGUUUGGACAUUAACUUCCUUUCUUCUAACAGCCACUGGGGAUAUAUUGAUUUGAGAAUAGAUAAAUACACCUUGAAAGGGGAGGGCAUCAACCUACCCCUUAAAAGGAUAUGUACGUUCCGCCCUCAACAUUCUUCAUAUCACACCUUUUUAAGCCAUUCUUUUGCAUAUUUGUAUAAUUAGAAAAAAAAUACUUGUACUGUGUCAUGCUACAUGUAACAAUACUGAACUGUGCAUAUUGCUAUUUCUAGUAGCUAAUUUUGAAAGUGGAACUAGCGGUAACCAA